UACGAAGGGGGCUAGCGUUGCUCGGAAUUACUGGGCGUAAAGGGAGCGUAGGCGGACAGUUUAGUCAGAGGUGAAAGCCCAGGGCUCAACCCUGGAAUUGCCUUUGAUACUGAUUGUCUUGAGUAUGGGAGAGGUGAGUGGAACUCCGAGUGUAGAGGUGAAAUUCGUAGAUAUUCGGAAGAACACCAGUGGCGAAGGCGACUCACUGGCCCAUUACUGACGCUGAGGCUCGAAAGCGUGGGGAGCAAACAGGG
rnacentral:rRNA from 1 species